GUGGCAACUGCUGGAUUCCUGUGCACUGACCCUGUGUUACACUGUGGGGAGAGGCAUCUUGUUUGCUAGGUACUGUUGCCUCUAGGAUUCCUUUUACCAGAGACCCCCAAGGAUUGACACGGCCCCUCAUCUGAUUUGGUAUCAAGUGAACUUUUAAUAGUAAUCCCUAGGUUUACUACAAGUAUUCUUCCUUGCAAUACGACCUGGCAAGUGGCUUUUUAACCUUCAGGGGUACCAGGCCUUGAGUCCUCCACUGGGUGUGUGGGAUCUUAGUUUCUGGCUCCCUGCUGUUCAAG